CUCCAGACUCCUACGGGAGGCAGCAGUGGGGAAUAUUGGGCAAUGGGCGCAAGCCUGACCCAGCAACGCCGCGUGAAGGAAGAAGGCUUUCGGGUUGUAAACUUCUUUUGUCAGGGACGAAGCAAGUGACGGUACCUGACGAAUAAGCCACGGCUAACUACGUGCCAGCAGCCGCGGUAAUACGUAGGUGGCAAGCGUUAUCCGGAUUUACUGGGUGUAAAGGGAGCGUAGACGGAAAGGCAAGUCAGAAGUGAAAACCCAAGGCUCAACCAUGGGACUGCUUUUGAAACUGUCAAACUAGAGUACGGGAGAGGUAAGAGGAAUUCCUAGUGUAGCGGUGAAAUGCGUAGAUAUUAGGAGGAACACCAGUGGCGAAGGCGGAUUGCUGGACAGUAACUGACGCUGAGGCGCGAAAGCGUGGGGAGCAAACAGGAUUAGAUACCCGGGUA
rnacentral:rRNA from 1 species